GCACCGGCUAACUCCGUGCCAGCAGCCGCGGUAAUACGGAGGGUGCGAGCGUUAAUCGGAAUUACUGGGCGUAAAGCGCAUGCAGGCGGCCUGUUAAGUCAGAUGUGAAAGCCCGGGGCUUAACCUCGGAAUUGCAUUUGAAACUGGCAGGCUAGAGUCUUGUAGAGGGGGGUAGGAAUUUCAGGUGUAGCGGUGAAAUGCGUAGAGAUCUGAAGGAAUACCAGUGGCGAAGGCGGCCCCCUGGACAAAGACUGACGCUCAGAUGCGAAAGCGUGGGGAGCAAACAGGAUUAGAUACCCUGGGGG
rnacentral:rRNA from 1 species